AGAGCGAACGCUGGCGGCAGGCCUAACACAUGCAAGUCGAGCGCCCGUAGCAAUACGGGAGCGGCAGACGGGAUAGUAACACGUGGGAACGCGCCCUUCGGUUCGGAAUAACUCAGGGAAACUUGAGCUAAUACCGAAUACGCCCUUACGGGGAAAGAUUUAUUGCCGAAGGAACGGCCCGCGUCCGAUUAGCUAGUUGGUGAGGUAAUGGCUCACCAAGGCUACGAUCGGUAGCUGGUCUGAGAGGAUGACCAGCAUCACUGGGACUGAGACACGGCCCAGACUCCUACGGGAGGCAGCAGUGGGGAAUAUUGGACAAUGGGCGAAAGCCUGAUCCAGCAAUGCCGCGUGUGUGAAGAAGGUCUUCGGAUUGUAAAGCACUUUCGACAGGGACGAUGAUGACGGUACCUGUAGAAGAAGCCCCGGCUAACUUCGUGCCAGCAGCCGC
rnacentral:rRNA from 1 species